GGCCAAUCAGAAAAUAGAAUUUCUCAGCCAAUCAGAAAAUAGAAUUUCUUGUUGCUGGGUGAGGAGUUCCUGUACUACCAGUUGAUGGACAUCCCUAUGUCCCAAGACCCAGUCAUGUUUGACAUUGAGGCUUUCUAGGGGAAUAUGACCUCACUGAAGAAUAGGGUGACUGGUAUGAGCAGAUUUCCGAGGCUGUCUACACUCUAAGAAUAUAUCUGUGUUUCACGGUUGAUUCCCUCUUUCUGGACCAUGCAAGGAAAGGCAGCAGGACCCGUCCUUAUACCCUUAUUGGACAGAGGAGCAGUCGUUUUACGAGUUUUUGCAACCAUCUUUAAGAAUGGAAAAGAAAGUUCAAGGAAGAUAUAUUUUGUACAUUUACUGUUAAACUUAUUGAAACAUUUGUAAUAUUAUACAGUAAAAUAAAAUGGC